rnacentral:rRNA from 1 species
AACGAACGCUGGCGGCGCGUCUUAAGCAUGCAAGUCGAACGGCAAGGCAGGUGCUUGCACCUGCCCUAGAGGGGCGGACUGGUGAGUAACACGUGGGUGACAUGCCUUUAGUUGGGGAUAGCUACUAGAAAUAGUAGAUAAUACCGAAUGUGAUCAAUAUUUAUAGAUGAUGUUGAGGAAAGGAGCUAAGGCUUCGCUAAAAGAUUGGCCCGCGGCCCAUUAGCUAGUUGGUAGGGUAAAGGCUUACCAAGGCGAUGAUGGGUAUCCGACCUGAGAGGGUGAUCGGACACAUUGGGACUGAGAUACGGCCCAGACUCCUACGGGAGGCAGCAGCUAAGAAUAUUCCACAAUGGACGAAAGUCUGAUGGAGCGACGCCGCGUGGAUGAUGAAGGCCCGAAAGGUUGUAAAAUCCUUUUACACUGGAGGAAUAAGCAGAGUAGGGAAUGACUCUGUGAUGACUGUACAGUUUGAAUAAGCAACGGCUAAUUACGUGCCAGCCGCAGC